GAGGAUCUUGUCUAGAAUUCUUAGUCACUGGACUGGUUCUAAUUGUUGUUUCUGUUCUUUGUAGUUUAUCUCAGGUCUAUCACUAUUUUACACGAACUUCUUGCAAGACCUCUCAUGGAUUCAGUACUUCAGCAUUCCUCAUUAUGGAUUUACAGCUUUGCAGCACAGUGAAUUCCUGGAACAAAACUUCUGUCCAGAACAUAACACAGCAGAAGUCAGUAGAUGUCAGAACUAUGUAAUAUGUACUGGUGAAGAAUUCUUGACGAUCCAGGGCAUCGAUCUCUCAUCAUGGGGCUUCUGGAAGAAUCAUGUGGCCUUAGCUUGUAUAAUGAUUAUCUUCUUACCAAUUACCUAUGUGCAAUUAUUAGUUCUUAAGAAAAAGAGACAUUUUUAAAAUCACUCCUCCACUUUCUUUGAAUUCAUCUGACAUUGGAAAUAAAUUAAAACUUUCCCUGUGAGUGGCUGUGUCAGAGGAGCAGCAGGUGGCACUGACGCUUCAGGAAAGUCACCAGAGUGCAAGGCACUGAUGGUGAAUCUCUGAUAGCUCACCUGCUCUGCAUCUGCUCUUCAGUUUCUCUGACCUGCUGAAGGCUGCCACCCAUCAACACCCAAGGUGAGAACCUGACAUGUUGGAGGGGUGUGUGUGUGUGUGUGUGUGUUAGUGUUAAUGUUAGUUUCCCCCCCUUUUUUUUGGCCCAAGAGAAAUAAGUUUUACUCCCUCAGAUAGAAAAGUCAAUGGAGUGAUCAGUCCACAGACUCUGUGGCUCCCCUUCAAUUCCUGGGGUGCUGAAGGCUGCUUUCUACAGCAGCAAAACUUAAUUUGCUGUUGUUGUUUUGUAAAUACAGCCUAAAAACCAACAUUCAGGGUCUUAGGUUCUUUGGUAGAAAGUUUUUUACAGUUA